GACGAACGCUGGCGGCGCGCUUAACACAUGCAAGUCGAACGGAAAGGCCUGCUUUCCCUUGUGGAUUGCGGGUACUCGAGUGGCGAACGGGUGAGUAACACGUGAGUGAUCUGCCCCCAACUUGGGUAUAAGCCUGGGAAACUGGGUCUAAUUCCCGAUAGGACUGCAGGGUGGUGCCUGUGGUGGAAAACGAUUUUCUAGUGGUUGGGGAUGAGCUCGCGGCCUAUCAGCUUGUUGGUGGGGUAAUGGCCUACCAAGGCGGCGACGGGUAGCCGGCCGGAGAGGGUGGACGGACACAUUGGGACUGAGAUACGGCCCAGACUCCUACGGGAGGCAGCAGUGGGGAAUAGUGCACAAUGGGCGGAAGCCUGAUGCAGCGACGCCGCGUGGGGGAUGACGGCCUUCGGGUUGUAAACUCCUUUCGACCGCGAGGAAGCCACCUGGUUGGAAGGGUGGUGACGGUAGUGGUAGAAGAAGCACCGGCUAACUACGUG
rnacentral:rRNA from 1 species